AGCUUAGUGGGUAUACAGUGUGCUCAUAAGGUUACUAUUACAGCUUAGUGGGUAUACAGUGUGCUCAUAAGGUUACUAUUACAGCUUAGUGGGUAUACAGUGUGCUCGUGAGGUUACUAUUAUAAGGAUAGGCAGAGCAAUGAAGCAGAAAACUAUGUCAGUGAUGGCAUUUGUGUAUAUCAUGGGUAAAUGCUGGCGCACAGAAUGGAUUUCAAGCAGAGAUGAUUUGUGCUGAGCAGUUUGGUGGGAACGGGCAGCUGUAAGCUGUAACUUGUUUUAUUUCAUGUAUUCUAAUUGUGGUGGAUUUAGCUCAGUCCUAUAUUCGACCCAUUGUGUUCCUUACAGCAGCAGUGGUGGUAACUGUAUAAGUGUGCCAUGAGGUCUUGAGACUUCGGUGAGGAAGCAGGCUAGAAAAGAGAGGUAU
ensembl:lncRNA